UACGAAGGGUGCAAGCGUUAAUCGGAAUUACUGGGCGUAAAGGGUGCGUAGGCGGUUGUUUAAGUCUGUCGUGAAAUCCCCGGGCUCAACCUGGGAAUGGCGAUGGAUACUGGCGAGCUAGAGUGUGUCAGAGGAUGGUGGAAUUCCCAGUGUAGAGGUGAAAUUCGUAGAUAUUGGGAAGAACACCAGUGGCGAAGGCGGCUAUCUGGACCGGUACUGACGCUGAGGCGCGAAAGCGUGGGGAGCAAACAGG
rnacentral:rRNA from 1 species